GUCAAACUUGAGUUCUUGUGGAGAAUUGCAGAACUCUGCAGAAAACAGGGGAAAGAGAAGUCGGCAGGAAAAACAGAUGCGCUCAAUUCUUCCUGGAUUGCUGCACGCCAACUUGGAGAUUGACACGCUUCAGUGAAGUUUGUGGGCUCCUUUUGUGCAUAUAUUUUGGUCAGGUAGCUUUGAUACAGCUCAGAGUGGCCUCCUUAUUCUUGUAGAUCUUCUGACCUGUUGUUGUUGAGAUUCAUGAGAACUAGUGUCGCUGUUACUGUUAUUGUUUUCAAUACCAUUCUCGUUGCUUGUGGAUUCACUCAUUGAUACAUCAGUUUCUGUAUAAGUUCCUGUAUCUGUCAUUGGUGACAAGGCAGGUAACGGUAAUGAUGGCGAUGGCAGAGAUGGUGACAUUCGAGGAGCCACCCAUCUCUUUAUCCACUCCCCCUGAUUUAAACUCUGCACGUCAGUAAAGUAUGGCAGAUCUUCUACUACCUUGACAUCUCUUGAAAUGUAGAAUUUUCCAGAGUUUGAAUCGAAGCACUUGUAUCCCUUCUUUGAGGAGGAGUAACCAAGAAAUACGCACUUGAUAGCACGUUUUUGGAAUUUGUUUCUGUAAUGAUCUUGUACAUGCACAAAACAGGUGGCACCAAAUACACGCAGAUGAGCAAGAGAUGGUUGUCUAUUAUAUAAUAUUUCAAAUGGACUUUU